UGACUGGUGGUGGUUUCAAUAAGCCCCAAGCGUAACUCUAAAAAGAGCAGAUCGUCUCCAGUGAGUAGUUGUUGUGGCAGUAGUAGCCAGGGGCGAUCCAGUCCGGACACGGAUAAUCCAGAGCCGCCAGAGUUUCCGCUGAGUCCAGUGUAUGCCCUCCCCAAACAAUGUUGUUGUCGCUGAUCCACAUCAUAGCUCCGACUUCAUUAAGCUAAUGCCACAAAAAUCACCCAGAGCUCCGCUUUUGCCCAGAGCCAAAUGUUGAGAAUUUUAAUUUAAAAUAUUGUCAUGCUUCCGUUCUGCAUUAUUAUUUGCCUGUUGAGUGUCUACCUAUGAGAGAUGCCUACAUAUUUAUAUCUUUAAAUUGUUAUUACUUAUCACAAUCCAAUACUAACAUCCAGCUAACUUUAUGUGCAGUGUUGAGAGUGUAAUCCGAAAGGUACUUCUUCCAAAUGUGACUAAUAUGCGUAGUCCCAGUCCUCGUAGAAUAUGUAAAACUGUAUUGCAUCCAAAUUGUUUCUAAUUUCGUUGUGUUCCUUUAAUGUGUGCGUGUAUGUAGUAUGUGUGUGCGUUUUAUCCGAAUAAUUCUAUAAUUCUAAUUCUAACAAGAAAAUUUUGAUUUAUCUUAAUUUACUUACAUUUAAAACUUUAAUUUAAAAUAGCUUUCGAGCGUAAAUCUAUAUAAACUUUUAGUACGAUUACGAUAUAUAUAUUUUUUCCCUUCCGUUUUGUACUUGAACAUUAAUUGAGCAAUGAAUCAUAUAUGGUUCUGCUCUUCCUCUGAGUGAACCGACUAUCCAUGCAACAAUAUAAUGAUCCUGAACCCGACUAACUCUCUGCCGUUUAUCCCUUA
rnacentral:sRNA from 1 species